GUCGGAGGAGGAUAUUGUGGCUACUGCCGGUGUCGACUCGGCCGUCUACUUAAUUUUCCUCAGUUCAGUUCUAGGGAUACUGGUGUUGUCUGGCAUUGUUUUGCUUCCAGUUCUUAUUCCUACUGCUGCAACUGAUCAUAGCGUGGAGACAGCUUCUAAUUCCACUAGUGUUGGGACCUUCAACAACCUUGACAGGCUGGCAAUGGGAAAUG
rnacentral:misc_RNA from 1 species